AAAGCAGUGUUGACGGGAACUGUGGUGUGAUACUUGAUAAUAGAAAUCAUCGUCGAAAAUGCGCAGGACAUAUUGAUCAGUGCAAUGUAGACGUCAAAGGAUUCAUGUCGAAGAUGUUUCGCUACAUAAUAUGGGAUAGCGAAAGAACUUAUUUGAAAUUGUUGUACGCUGUCUCAUGACAUAUCAACAUGAUGUUUCAUCCUAUCGACUUGACGACAGAACAGUGGAUUGGUCAUUUGUGCUGCAUAUGUUCAAAUUUUCAUUCUGGAUCUCAAAAGCAAUUAAUGAACCAAUUGAGGAAUUUGGCAUCGUACUUCAAAAAGAAUUUUUGUUAACAUAGACGAAAUAGGCGACGAUCAGACCACCAAUCAAUGUCAACAUCUCUUCGGUCCACUGCAGUUGCAUGAACUGCACCUUUCACAUUCUAUCGCCGACUCGAUCGCAGGUACUCUAUUUCCUCCUAUUCUUUUAUAUUCUCUCGACUACCGG